UACGAAGGGGGCUAGCGUUGCUCGGAAUCACUGGGCGUAAAGGGUGCGUAGGCGGGUCUUUAAGUCAGGGGUGAAAUCCUGGAGCUCAACUCCAGAACUGCCUUUGAUACUGAAGAUCUUGAGUUCGGGAGAGGUGAGUGGAACUGCGAGUGUAGAGGUGAAAUUCGUAGAUAUUCGCAAGAACACCAGUGGGGGAGGCGGCUCCCUGGCCCGAUACUGACGCUGAGGCACGAAAGCGUGGGGAGCAAACAGG
rnacentral:rRNA from 1 species